UAGGGAAUCUUCGGCAAUGGGGGGAACCCUGACCGAGCAACGCCGCGUGAGUGAAGAAGGUUUUCGGAUCGUAAAGCUCUGUUGUUAAGGAAGAACGAGUGUGAGAAUGGAAAGUUCAUGCUGUGACGGUACUUAACCAGAAAGGGACGGCUAACUACGUGCCAGCAGCCGCGGUAAUACGUAGGUCCCGAGCGUUGUCCGGAUUUAUUGGGCGUAAAGCGAGCGCAGGCGGUUAGAAAAGUCUGAAGUGAAAGGCAGUGGCUCAACCAUUGUAGGCUUUGGAAACUGUUUAACUUGAGUGCAGAAGGGGAGAGUGGAAUUCCAUGUGUAGCGGUGAAAUGCGUAGAUAUAUGGAGGAACACCGGUGGCGAAAGCGGCUCUCUGGUCUGUAACUGACGCUGAGGCUCGAAAGCGUGGGGAACGAACAGG
rnacentral:rRNA from 1 species